rnacentral:rRNA from 1 species
GAUGAACGCUGGCGGCGUGCCUAAAACAUGCAAGUCGAGCGGUAAGGCUCUGCACUUAGUGUUUGAUCGAAGUAAUUUAUUACUACAGUAGACCAAUUGGAACCUUGGCGGGUGAAGAGCGGAAUAGGAAGAUCGAAUUAUAAGUGUAGAGUACACGAGCGGCGGACGGGUGAGUAACACGUGGGAAUCUACCCCAAACUGAGGGAUAAGCACCGGAAACGGUGUCUAAUACCGCAUAUGGUCUUCGGAUUAAAGCUUCGGCGGUUUGGGAAGAGCCCGCGUAAGAUUAGCUAGUUGGUGAGGUAAAGGCUCACCAAGGCGACGAUCUUUAGCUGGUUUGAGAGGAUGAUCAGCCACACUGGAACUGAGACACGGUCCAGACUCCUACGGGAGGCAGCAGUUAGGAAUUUUCCACAAUGGCGCAAGCCUGAUGGAGCAACGCCGCAUGCAGGAUGAAGGUUUUCGGAUUGUAAACUGCUUUUAUGUUUGAAGAAUAUGACGGUAACACAUG